CUGAUGUUGCUGCUCGUGGACUUGAUAUUCCUGAUGUGGACUGGAUAGUGCAGUAUGAUCCUCCUGAUGAACCCAAGGAGUACAUUCAUAGGGUUGGCCGUACAGCCCGUGGAGAAGGUGCAAAAGGUAAUGCCCUGCUUUUUCUGAUUCCAGAAGAGCUGCAGUUUCUGCGCUAUCUGAAGGCUGCAAAAGUCCCUGUUAAAGAAUAUGAAUUUGAUGAUAAGAAGCUGGCAAAUGUUCAGUCUCAUCUGGAGAAGUUGGUGGCAAACAACUAUUAUUUGAACAAAUCUGCUAAAGAUGCAUAUCGAUCCUACAUAUUGGCCUAUAAUUCACACUCUAUGAAAGACAUAUUUAAUGUCCAUCGCCUUGAUCUACAGGCGGUUGCAGCUUCAUUCUGCUUUUCUUGUCCACCAAAGGUGAAUUUGAACAUAGACAGCAAUGCUUCCAAAUUUAGAAAGAAAGCGCAUAAAGGAAGUAAAAAUAGGUUCAGUGAGAACAACCCUUAUGGAAGGCAGAGUGAUGGAG
rnacentral:misc_RNA from 1 species